rnacentral:rRNA from 1 species
CCGUGAGGGAAAGAUCAAAAGCACUUUGAAAAGAGGGUGAAAAGAACCUGAAACCGUUACGACAGAAGCGUAUUGCGUUGAAUUGAGGGCUGUUUAACUCUUCAGCUGAACGUGAGUUUAGUGUACUGAGUUAAGUAGUUAUCCGUCGUGCCUUUUCUGUGGCUGAUAUUGAGCCGCGGGAGAGGGAGGGAUCCCCUUUAUGGGUGAGGACGAUGGAGUGGCAACGCGAUGCGACCCGUCUUGAAACACGGACCAAGGAGUCUAACAUGUUUGCGAGUUGAAGGGUAGUAAACCUGGAGGCGCAGUGAAAGCGAACUUCUAAAACGGACAGUUUGUGGCGGCAUAAAAUCGUUGAUUUUAGGUCUGACUAAGAGCAAAUAUGUUAGGACCCGAAAGAUGGUGAACUAUGCUUGAGUAGGCCGAAGGCAGAAGAAAUUCUGCUGGAGGGCCGAAGCGGUGCUGACGUGCAAAUCGCUCGUCGAACUCGAGUAUAGGGGCGAAAGACUAAUCGAACCAUCUAGUAGCUGGUUCCCUCCGAAGUUUCUCUCAGGAUAGCGGGCCGACAAUUAUUGUUUUGUGCGGUAAAGCGAAUGAUUAGCGCACUCGGGGGCAUUCAGUCUUCGGUCGAUUCUCAAACUUUUAAUGCGCAAGGGGGCUGCAGCUUAG